CGGGGAAGCGCGACUGACUCAGGUGGCCAGACUUGGGCCCCUAGCAUCGUCUCCAUCCUGCCUCUUCUGCAAGCAUGUGUGUGACUCCUGUGUCAGUGUCCCUGGCACAAAGAAUGUAACACUUGAGCUGAUGGGGGCCUCUGCAUCCAGAGACCUGGGACAAAAGCGGCCCACUGGAUAUCCCAAAAGACCUACAUCAUUCCCACCAGCUGGGCUGCUGGCCGGUAGCAAAGAACAAAACGGAAAUUUCAUGAAUACAAUCCAGUUACUUAGCAUUAUGCAACAGGUCAGAUGGCAGAGCAGAGCACUGGACUGAGAAUCUGGAUUUUGGAGGGCAGCCGACACCUACCUCUGAUUUCCCAAACAGUCUCGAAAGGGAUGCUUGGGAACUCCAGCUGAGAGCAGGGUUGGAGUCCAACAGCACAAAACAGACUCACCUUCUCCCAUCACAAGUGAUCAAAACACUGUAAAACUGUAAUAUAAGUUUUAUUGUUUCCUGGACUAGCCACUGCGGGGCUUUUUUUGGAAAUAACAAACAUGACUUUUCAUGACUCCUGCUGUAGGUAAUCUUUCCGUAUCUCCACAAUAAAGGCUCUGCUCCAGGGAGGCUCCACCUUGGUCCUUCUGAGCUCUGCUUACUGAGAUUCUUGUCUUAAUAUAGCCCACUAAUUGUAGGUCCCCAAAAGGAGCACCCGCAGGUCCCUGGAAAGGUUCCACUAGCCACAGCCCUGACAGUCAGCCAAGUGAACAAAGCCCCUUACCCUAAGGCUAACUUGAGCAGGGUUGCAGAUUGGCUUCUGGAAAUUGUUCACAGCUUCACUGGCCCUUUGGAGCCUCUCUUCUUGGUUCGACCGGAUCCUAAGGUCCUGGAUAUAGCUGCCUUCUCUUGACACCUCCCUCCUUACAAGUCUUGUCACCUUUGAGGGAUUGGAGAAUGCCAGCUAUGGAUGAGAUGCCCAUCCCAUUCUGAACAGCCUAACUUCAGAAUGCUUCUGGAACAGAAUUGGAUCCCUCCUCCAGCAGCCAGAGUUGGUACCCAGCUGUCAGAGCAAAAGCCAACACCCUGACAUCGCACGGGUGUGCCAUGGCUCCAGCCAGUUGCCCACACAAGACACACUGUGUUCACACACACUAUCAGUCCACUACUGUCCCCUCACCAAACAUCAUCCUGUGCCAACUGCUGUGACAUUAAAGAUAAGCUAACA